rnacentral:rRNA from 1 species
CCUACGUGAUGCAGCAGUCGAGAAUCAUUCACAAUGGGGGAAACCCUGAUGGUGCGACGCCGCGUGGGGGAAUGAAGGUCUUCGGAUUGUACACCCCUGUCAUGUGGGAGCAAAUUAAAAAGAUAGUACCUCAAGCGGAAGAGACGGUUAACUCUGUGCAAGCAGCUGCGGUAAUACAGAGGUCUCAAGAGUUGUUCGGAAUCACUGGGCGGAAAGCGUGCGUAGGCGGUUGCGGAAGUCGUGUGUGAAAGGCGCGGGCUCAAACCGCUGACGGAACAUGAUACUGCGAGAGUAGAGUAAUGGAGGGGGAACCGGAAUUAGUGGUGUAGCAGUGAAAUGAGUAGAUAUCGAGAGGAACACUCGUGGCGAAGGCGGGUUCCUGGACAUUAACUGACGCUGAGGCACGAAGGCCAGGGGAGCGAAAGGGAUUAGAUACCCUUGUAGUC